CCACCUUAGGAAACAAUGCCAUACAGGCUUUGGAAUCAGGCAGGCCUGUUCAGGUAAUACUUGUAUGUCCUUGGGCAAGACACACUCUCUAACCUCCAAUUGGGUCAUAAUAAUUGUGUCUUCCUUAGGAUUUUGGUGAGGGCUAGAUGGGUCAAUUUGUGUGUGUGUCUGUGUGUGUAGAUGUGCGUCUCACUAUAUUGCUCAGGCUGGUCUCGAACUCCUGGGCUCAAAUGAUCCUCCUGCGUCGACCUUCCAAGUACUGGAAUUACAGACAUGAGCCACUGCACCCAGCCCUCGAUGGGAUGACUUAAACACUGUGUUUCAACUGCCUGGCAUAUGCGUAACACCUAGAACCAGCAUGAAAUGGCUUUGCUUACUGGAGUCUAUGGAAUUUAUAUACAGCCCUCAGGGACCAGGACAGACAGGUGGAGAAAUCAAGACCCCAGUAGAGGGCUGACCCAGUUACUCAGCAAUGCCGUGGCAGAAACACACACAAGAGCCUGUGGCUUCACAGGCCACGAUGUUGUCUUAGCGAUGUUGUCUUAGCGCAGCGCUCCCCGUGUUGACGUGGAAGGUGGUAAUGGAAGUGAGCAAAAAACUGAUCCAUGCACAGAUAAAUUUGUGAAUGCUGGAUUAAACAAAGUUAAAAUAGUGGCUUAAGGAGACAGAGGUCCAUUUCUCAGUCAUGCCUCACGCUCAUGGUGGCUCAUUUGGAAACUGUCGUACACUGUCUUCACUCGAGGACCCAGAGGAUGAAGUGGACUGAAACACGGAAAUCUGAAACAUUGAUGAUCACUGCAGCAAAGGGAAGAGCUCGGCAAACUGUACUGCGAUCCCCACCUUCACAGGGAGAAAGGAAGCAAAGUAAGUUGCUCAAAAACACAGCUAGUCAACACCCCCUGAAUGUACCAUGCCAAGGGUGAACGCUCAUGUAAACUGUGGACUUUGGGUGAUAAUGAUGUGUCAACGUAGGUUCAAUGAUUGCAACAAACGCACCACUCUGCUGUGGGAUGUUGACCGUGUGGGAGGCCGUGAGUUGGGGUGAUGGAGGAGAACUCUCUGUACUUUCUGAUUGAUUUUGCUGAGAACCUAAAACAGCUCUAAAAAAAAAAGUCUAUUUACACACACACACACACACACACACACACCCCUAGUAAACAACAGGACCGGGAGUCAAAACUAUGUCUGUCUCCUUAGGGGAUGGUGAGUUACUAUCAACAACAUGUUGAACUCCACCAUACAAGUAGCAAUAAUGAUGUGUGUGCGCGCACAUGUGCG